rnacentral:tRNA from 1 species
GGGGUUGUGGCUCAGUGGUAGAGUGCUCACCUAGCAUGUGUGAGGCCCUGAGUUUGAUCCUCAGCACCACCU